UCCCUGGCAGUCCAAUGGUUAGGACUCUGUGCUUUCACUGCAGAGGCGUGGAUUCAAUCCCUGGUCAGGGAA
rnacentral:tRNA from 1 species